GGGGCUGCUAGCAGAACCGGAUUGCCCUUGCCAGAAUCUAUACCCAGAAACCAGACGCACCGCUCGCCCAUAAACCCUAAACCCACAUGGGUCAGAAGAGGCAUCGUAGCGUGGACGUGCAGGAGUAGCCCCUCCACCUGCCCAAGGGGUAGACCAUCGGACCCUCGGGCUUCGAUACGCCCAACCAGGCCAGACCCUCCAUACUCACACUCACAGCCCGUCCUUCCUACGCCAUCCGGCCGCCGAGGGCCCGGCGAGGGAGCUCCCAGACGCCCCCUUAGCCUCCGGUCCGGCGGCGGCCUGGGACCCGCUCCCCGCCGGGCUCUGACGCCGCCGCCGCCGCCGCCACCACCACCAUCGCGCAAGCGCGCAAGCGCACGCUGCUUAGCGCGCUCCCCGCCCCCUCAUCCGCCCUUUUCAACCAUCAAGCUUUAUUUGAACAUAAGAAGUGAACAACGGACACCAGACAAGCGGCCUUACUCAAAACAAAGUGAACUCUUAAGCUUCUAACGAGAGUAAAUUUCAAGAAACUUCCAGAAGGCGCCGUGUUGUUGUUCCCAAAGCCUGGGAAAACUCUUAUCUCGUAGACUUCCGGGGG
rnacentral:lncRNA from 1 species